ACGCUCGACACCUACGGGAGGCAGCAUUGGGAAUAUUGGACAAUGGAGGAAACUCUGAUCCAGUGACGCCGCGUGAAGGAAGAAGGUCUUCGGAUUGUAAACUUAUUUUGUCAGGGAAGAAAAAAUGACUGUACCUGAAGAAAAAGCACCGGCUAACUACGUGCCGGCAGCCGCGGUAAUCUGAGCGGGCGUGGCAAGGC
rnacentral:rRNA from 1 species